rnacentral:rRNA from 1 species
GUGUCAGCAGCCGCGGUAAUACGGAGGGUGCGAGCGUUAAUCGGAAUUACUGGGCGUAAAGGGUGCGUAGGUGGUUGUAUAAGUUAGUUGUGAAAUCCCUGGGCUUAACCUGGGAAUGGCAACUAAGACUGUAUGACUUGAGUAUGGGAGAGGGUAGUGGAAUUUCCGGUGUAGCGGUGAAAUGCGUAGAGAUCGGAAGGAACACCAGUGGCGAAGGCGGCUACCUGGCCUAAUACUGACACUGAGGCACGAAAGCGUGGGGAGCAAACAGGAUUAGAUACCCUGGUAGUCC